rnacentral:rRNA from 1 species
GGCGUGCUUACACAUGCAAGUCGAACGAACCUUCGGGUUAGUGGCGGACGGGUGAGUAACGCGUGAGAAUCUGCCCUCAGGAGGGGGACAACAGCUGGAAACGGCUGCUAAUACCCCAUAUGUCGCGAGGUGAAAUGAAUUUCGCCUGAGGAUGAGCUCGCGUCUGAUUAGCUGGUUGGUGUAGGUAAUGGCUCACCAAGGCAUCGAUCAGUAGCUGGUCUGAGAGGAUGAUCAGCCACACUGGGACUGAGACACGGCCCAGACCCCUACGGGAGGCAGCAGUGGGGAAUUUUCCGCAAUGGGCGAAAGCCUGACGGAGCAACGCCGCGUGAGGGAUGAAGGCCUCUGGGCUGUAAACCUCUUUUAUCAAGGAAGAGGAUCUGACGGUACUUGAUGAAUAAGCCACGGCUAAUUCCGUGCCAGCAGCCGCGGUAAUACGGGAGUGGCAAGCGUUAUCCGGAAUUAUUGGGCGUANAGCGUCCGCAGGCGGCCCUUCAAGUCUGCUG